rnacentral:misc_RNA from 1 species
GAUGAAGAACGCAGCGAAAUGCGAUAAGUAAUGUGAAUUGCAGAAUUCAGUGAAUCAUCGAAUCUUUGAACGCACCUUGCGCCCUUUGGCUAUUCCAGAGGGCAUGCCUGUUUGAGUAUCAUGAACACCUCAACUCUCAUGGUUCUGCCAUGAUGAGCUUGGACUUUGGAGGUCUUGCUGGCCCCUGUGGUCAGCUCCUCUCAAAUGGAUCAGCUUGCCAGUGUUUGGUGGCAUCACAGGUGUGAUAACUAUCUACGCUUGUGGUUUUCCACCAGGUAACCUUCAGUGAUGGAGGUUCGCUGGAGCUCAUAAACGUCUCUCCUCAGCAAGGACAGCUUCUUGAAUGUUUGAUCUCAAAUCAGGUAGGGCUACCCGCUGAACUUAAGCAUAUCAAUAGGCGGAGGA